CGAAAGAAACGAGGUGUGUGACGCUUGAAAGUUUGGUGAAACUACUGGCCCUCGUGUCCUUGCGAGGUUUAAAGAUGUUAAGAAAAAUAUUUUAAAAUUAAGAUGACCCCCUACUUGAUUUGCUUCAUAAUGUAUUGUACUGUGUAGCAUUUCGAGUCGGAGGUCAUCUCAAGUUUUUAUUAAUGUUUAAUCUUCGCAAAGACACGAGGGCCUGUGGGUGAAACCCACAGGCCUGGGUAUGGUGCUCACAAAAGUAGAAACACAACGAUAACGAAACGGGAUUUGAACCUAUAAUUUCAGGUUCCUAGCCUGCCAAAUGGACACAACCCUGCACAUCGCCUUGCACGACUGGGCACCCGUGUUCCCAAACAUCACUAUACCGGCAGAGGGAGUUUCUCGUUGUCAACGUCCUUUGUCCUUUGUGCUCGUGAUGUUUAAGUUCAACAAGGUCAAGGCCAACGAAAAGAAGACAGACAACCAAAAGAUAAAGUGCAACAUCCGGGCCUGCGUGAUCCUCCUCC